rnacentral:rRNA from 1 species
CUGGCGGCGUGGAUAAGACAUGCAAGUCGAACGCUAACAUUCAGGUAGCAAUAUUUGGGUGUUGGAGUGGCGCAAGGGUGCUUAACACGUGGGUAAUUUGCCGCGAAGCCUGGAAUAACUCGCUGAAAGGCGAGCUAAUGCCGGAUGUGACUCUUGGGGAGCAUUCCUUGGGAUUCAAAGUUGGGGAUCGAAAGACCUGACGCUUUGCGAUAAGCCCGCGGCCUAUCAGCUAGUUGGUGAGGUAAAGGCUCACCAAGGCUAAGACGGGUAGCUGGUCUGAGAGGACGACCAGCCACACUGGAACUGAGACACGGUCCAGACACCUACGGGUGGCAGCAGUCGAGAAUUUUUCACAAUGGGGGAAACCCUGAUGGAGCGACGCCGCGUGGGGGAUGAAUGGCUUCGGCCCGUAAACCCCUGUCAUUUGCGAACAAUGCUUUGGUAUGAACAAUAUCAAAGUUGAUAGUAGCAGAAGAGGAAGAGACGGCUAACUCUGUGCCAGCAGCCGCGGUAAUACAGAGGUCUCAAGCGUUGUUCGGAUUCACUGGGCGUAAAGGGUGCGUAGGCGGUCAGGUAAGUCUAAAGUGAAAGCUCCGGGCUUAACCCGGAAAUGGCUUUGGAUACUAUCUGGCUAGAGGGCCGGAGAGGGGACUGGAAUUCUCGGGUGUAGCAGUGAAAUGCGUAGAUAUCGAGAGGAACACCAGUGGCGAAAGCGAGUCCCUGGACGGCAUCUGACGCUGAGGCACGAAAGCCAGGGUAGCAAACGGGAUUAGAUACCCCGGUAGUCCCGGCUGUAAACGGUGUGCACUUGCUGUGGAGCGGAAUCGACCCCGCUCGUGGCGAAGUUAACUCGAUAAGUGCACCGC